rnacentral:rRNA from 1 species
CGUAGGAGGCAAGCGUUAUCCGGAUUCACUGGGCGUAAAGCGCGUGCAGGCGGCGCGGUAAGUUGGGUGUGAAAUCUCCCGGCUCAACUGGGAGAGGUCAUUCAAUACUACCGUGCUAGAGAGCAGAAGAGGAAGAUGGAAUUCCCGGUGUAGUGGUGAAAUGCGUAGAUAUCGGGAGGAACACCAGUGGCGAAGGCGAUCUUCUGGUCUGUUUCUGACGCUCAGACGCGACAGCUAGGGUAGUAAACGGGAUUAGAGACCCCGGUAAUCCUAGCCGUAAACGAUGUAAACUUGGCGUUGGUGGGUUAAACUCCAUCAGUGCCGCAGCAAACGCGAUAAGUUUACCGCCUGGGGACUACGGCCGCAAGGUUA